CUGCCUGCCUGCCUGCCCUCUUGCUGUGCUCCUGCUUAAAGAAAUCAGUCCUUCCUUUCCGACUUAGUCCCCGGGAAGAAGUUUCAGCCUACGAGAUCUUAAAGCAACUUGUGCUACUUCAUUUGAAGAGAAUUAGGUAAUCAUU
rnacentral:lncRNA from 1 species